rnacentral:tRNA from 2 species
UCCUCGUUGGUGUAACUGGCAGCACGCCGGUCUUUGGAACCGGAAAGUCGUGGUUCGAACCCUCGGCGAGGAA